rnacentral:rRNA from 1 species
GACGAACGCUGGCGGCGUGCCUAAUACAUGCAAGUUGAGCGCUGAAGGUUGGUACUUGUACCAACUGGAUGAGCAGCGAACGGGUGAGUAACGCGUGGGGAAUCUGCCUUUGAGCGGGGGACAACAUUGGGAAACGAAUGCUAAUACCGCAUAAAAACUUUAAACACAAGUUUUAAGUUUGAAAGAUGCAAUUGCAUCACUCAAAGAUGAUCCCGCGUUGUAUUAGCUAGUUGGUGAGGUAAAGGCUCACCAAGGCGGUGAUACAUAGCCGACCUGAGAGGGUGGUCGGCCGCAUUGGGACUGAGACACGGCCCAAACUCCUACGGGAGGCAGCAGUAGGGAAUCUUCGGCAAUGGACGAAAGUCUGACCGAGCAACGCCGCGUGAGUGAAGAAGGUUUUCGGGUCGUAAAACUCUGUUGGUAGGGAAGAACGUUGGUGAGAGUGGAAAGCUCAUCAAGUGACGGUAACUACCCAGAAAGGGACGGCUAACUACGUG